GGGGCCGACCUGGUUUCGACGUGGGUAGCAAAGCAAUGUAGGGCAUACCGAGGACCCGUUACCUCGUUAAUCAAUGGGAAAAAAAGUAACCGCAAACGACAAAACGUUCGCUGUAGCCGCUUAAUACCGGCUCGCCUCGCACUCGCUCUCUGACGGGUUAGGGUCGCAAGACCAUGCGAGGUCAUUUACGUCAGAUCGUAGUAGGUGAUGUCACGGCGUCUACUAUUAAAUCUAGUGAAUCGCUACGGUAAAGCGUGUUCAUCCGCGUUGCUGUAGUUAAAUUAAAGGAUUGAACUAAGUAUGUAGAACUGCUUGUAGAGUGCUUGCGGACGCGGGUUCGAUUCCCGCCGGCUCCACCA
rnacentral:tmRNA from 1 species